UGAAAUCUGUUUGAGUUUGGUGAA
rnacentral:siRNA from 1 species